rnacentral:lncRNA from 1 species
UACACCCCCCUAGCUGGAUAGUGGCUGGUUAUUAUAUUAUAUUACGAGUACACCCCCUAGCUAGGAUAGUGGCUGGUUAUUAUAUUAUAUUAUGAGUUACACCCCCUAGCUAGGAUAGUGGCUGGUUAUUAUAUUAUAUUACCAGUUACAUGUGGCUGGAGACAUGUUGCUUCUUGAAAGUCCAAAAUCUUGACAGCUUGACUGCUGACAUGCAAAACAUUUCGAGACUGUGUUAUUAGCAGUGUCCAACCUGGCUACUGCAACUAGUUCACAGUACAUCAAAUUGGCUUAAAGGCACAUACACCAAUUAUGCAAAAUCAGGGUUAAAUAAUAGACCAUUUUAUUUGUCAAGUUCUCUGCACACAAGCUAUAAUAAAUAUGUGAAAGUGAGGAAGAUGAUAAACGUUAUGAAAAGCCUCACCCUAAUCUAAAAUAGACAAUAAAAUGUUCAUUAUAAAAACACAAGUCAACAAGUAUGAAAUAAUUUGAUAUAUGUACAAAAAUGCAUAUUUACAAGAUAGUAAAGCGCUAAACCCAAAACACACACUGUUUAUAUCACAGGGUUGUGUUGAUGUAAAAUCUCAUUCACUCAAUGUAAAACCUGAAUCCUAAUCAAAACGUCUGCCCCCUAGUGUCAUUCAGUAAUUCCCUUAAUGCAGUUUUGAAAAGUUAAAGGUUUAAAAGUAAAUGUACAGGUGGCAUGUCAAAUAAAAUGUGAGACACUAUGAUGUGUGUUUAACGAAAUCAUUUAGAGAAGAGUGUCAAAACUCCCUUUGAUUCUGAUCAAUCCAUGACCAAUAUCACAUUUCUGCCACUUUGUGUGUCAAAAUUACUUGUCGAUUGUUUUACUUUGAUGUGACUGGAUCUAUGAUUAGCAGAUCAAUACCAAACUGUCAGGGGAUCUAUGAUAAGCAGAUCAAUACCAGCAGAUUGCCAUGGGGUCUAUGAUAAGCAGAUCAAUACCAGCAGACUGUCAGGGGGUCUAUGAUAAGCAGAUCUGUCACGCCCUGGUCUUAGUAUUUUGUGUUUUCUUUCUUUAUUUGGUCAGGCCAGGGUGUGACAUGGGUUUAUUUCGUGUUGUGUUUAUGUAUGGGGGUUUUUCGUAGGUUUUGGGAUUGUGGCUUAGUGGGGUUUUCUAGCAUAGUCUAUGGUUGCCUGAGGCGGUUCUCAAUCAGAGGCAGGUGAUURUCGUUGUCUCUGAUUGGGAACCAUAUUUAGGCAGCCAUAUUCUUUGAGUYUUUCGUGGGUGAUUGUUCCUGUCUCUGUGUUUGUUGUUCACCAGAUAGGCUGUAUAGGUUUUCACAUUCUGUUUGUUGUUUUUGUAGUGUUC